GAGGUUGGUGAGUUGGUCGCUCUCAACAUUAGUUGAGGGAGGAAAGUCCGAACUCCAUAGAACAGAGUGCCUCCGAAAUGGAGGGUCCCGUAAGGGGCGGCAAGUGCAACAGAGAGUAGACAUCCAUCUUCGGAUGGAAACAGGUGAAAGGGUGGUGUAAGAGACCACCGGUGCCGUUGGUAACAGGGGUAGCCAGGUAAACCCCACUCAGGAGCAAGAUCAAGCAGCCUUGCGUAGUUCGCGCAUAAGGGCGGGUAGAUUGCACGAGCUUGUCUGUGAAGGCAGGCCCAGAUGAAUGACCAACAUCCGCUUUGGCGGAAACAGAAUUCGGCUUAUGAUCCGACCUCAUUU
rnacentral:RNase_P_RNA from 1 species